rnacentral:tRNA from 1 species
GCCUGAGUGGCUCAGUCCGUUGAGUGUCUGACUUUGGCUCAGGUCAUGAUCUUGCAGUUCGUGGGUUCGAGCCCUGCGUCGGGCU